rnacentral:lncRNA from 1 species
AAAAUUUAAAAAAAUCUUCAUUUAAUGACAUUGCCAAUGUUUUUUGUUAUAAGAUAUUUGUAAUUUUUUUUGUAAUCCUCACCUAUGCUAGAAAGGGGGGCAUUAUGUUUUCUGAUUUUGCUUCUGUAGGUAAUUUGUGGUGUAUUAGUUUAACAUGGGAAUGUGAAAAUGUAAAAUCUGUUCUUUCUCGGGUUAAAAUUUUUGUUAUGAAGAUGUACAUUAAAUCCUUAUUUAACACACAUGUUCAUUAUAAUAUGGACUUUCGACCUUUUAAGCCAAGUGAAGAUAUUAUAGUUAAAUUGGAAAUAUGGUAGUUCAAGCAUGGCAUACUGUCCUAUUGACACAUAUCCCUGUUUUAAUUAAUAUGAUUUAAACAUUGAAUAAGUUCUGUUAUAAUCAUUUCAUUGAAUCAAAUUCUGUUACUGUGAAUUCAGAAAUUAAUGCAAUGUUUUAAUUAUUGCGAAAAAUGCGACAGGGUUAUAAUCCCAAUGAUUUAAACUGGCAUUUUGAAAUAUUUCAUAUGAUUAAACAGGAUUUUUCUCAAUAUCGCAAAAAAUUAAAAUGCGUUUUAGUGUAAAAUGACAAAUCGCAAUAAUUAAUGCACGCAUUAAUUUCUGAAUUUACACUAUUUAAAAUGAUAUAAAGGAGUUUUUAGCUCACCUGGCCCAAAGGGCCAAGUGAGCUUUUCUCAUCACUUGGCGUCCGGCGUUGUACGGCGUUAACUUUUACAAAAAUCUUCUCCUCUGAAACUACUGGGCCAAAUUUAACUAAAUUUGGCCACAAUCAUCAUUGGGGUAUCUAGUUUAAAAAUUGUGUCGGGUGACCCGCCAAACCAACCAAGAUGGCCGCCAUGGCUAAAAAUAGAACAUAGGGGUAAAAUGCAGUUUUUGGCUUAUAACUCAAAAACCAAAGCAUUUAGAGCAAAUCUGACACGGGGGUAAAAUUGUUUAUUAGGUCAAGAUCUAUCUGCCCUGAAAUUUUCAGAUGAAUCGGAAGACCCGUUGUUGGAUUGCUGCCCCUAAAUUGGUAAUUUUAAGGAAAUUUUACUGUUUUUGGUUAUUAUCUUGAAUAUUAUUAUAGAUAGAGAUAAACUGUAAACAGCAAUAAUGUUCAGCAGAGUAAGAUUUACAAGUAUGUCGACAUGACCGAAAUAGUCAGUUGACCCCUUUAGGAGUUAUUGCCCUUUAUAGUCAAUUUUUAACCAUUUUUCGUAAAUCUUAGUAAUCUUUUACAAAAAUCUUCUCCUCUGAAACUACUGGGCCAAAUUAAACCAAACUAGGCCACAAUCAUCAUUGGGGUAUCUAGUUAAAAAAAUGUGUGGCAUGACCCUGCCAACCAGUCAAGAUGGCCGCCAUGGCUAAAAAUAGAACAUAGGGGUAAAAUGUAGAUUUUGGCUUAUAACUCUAAAACCAAAGUAUUUAGAGCAAAUCUGACAUGGGGUAAAAUAAUCUAUUAGGUCUAGAUCUAUCUGCCCUGAAAUUUUCAGACAAAUCGGACAACCUGUUGUUGGGUUGCUGCCCCAGAAUUAGUAAUUUUAAGGAAAUUUUGCAGUUUUUGGUUAUCAUCUUGAAUAUUAUAAUAGAUAGAGAUAAACUGUAAACAGCAAUAAUGUUCAUCAAAGUAAGAUCUACAAAUAAGUCAACAUGACCAAAAUAGUCAGUUUAUUCCUUAAGGAGUUAUUGCCCUUUAUAGUCAUUUUUUAACAAUUUAAAUAAAUUUUUGUAAAUUUUUAGAAUAUAUUUUCCACUGUAAUUACUGGGCCAAGUUCAUUAUAGAUAGAGAUAAUUGUAGCAAGAAGAAUGUCCAGUAAAGUAAGAUCUGCAAACACAUCAUGAUCACCAAAACACAAUUUUGUCAUGAAUUUAUCUGUGUCCAUUGUUUAAUAUGCACAUAGACCAAGGUGAGCGACACAGGCUCUUGAGAGCCUCUAGUUAUGGUUUUCAAAUAAGUGCUUUAGUAAGAUUUUUUACUGGCUUAUCCUAUUUUUCUUUAGUGUUUAUGGAUUAAAUUUAUGUUUGUUAUUUAAUUUUUUAUGCAGCAGUUUACCUUAGAUAAUUUUGCAAAAUGAAUCAUUUAAAUGAAGAAAUCAUGUUUGUUUGUUUGUUCUGUUCUGUUCUGUUUUGUUUUGUUUUUUAAAUGAAAUAAUUUAAAAAGUUGGAAUUGAUGUGUGCUAAGCCUAAUGCCUCUAUCAUUCAUUUAUUGAUAUGUGAAGAUCAUUUAUUGAUAUGUGAAGAUCAUUUAUUGAUAUGUGAAAAACAUUUAUUGAUAUGUGAAGAUCAUUUA